rnacentral:lncRNA from 1 species
CUCAAUAAUAUAUCACUCGUCAUAUUGGAGUCCAGCAUUACGAGACGAUUGACCAAAAACAUAUACACGAUGUGGGCAUGUUGAUCGAUUGUGUCCGGUGUUCGACACACAGUGCACAGUUUGGGUUCACUCGUCUCCCUGACAUCCAUGUCAUUUCGAAUUCUAGUUGAUUGUGGUCGACCUUUAGAAUGUCUACGGAGACUACGACCAGGCACCAUCUCGAAAGCAAGCGGUGGAACUUCCCAG